rnacentral:rRNA from 1 species
GUGAGGAAUUUUGCGCAAUGGCCGCAAGGCUGACGCAGCAACGCCGCGUGGGUGAUGAAGGCCUUCGGGUCGUAAAGCCCUGUCAGGUGGGAAGAAAGGCUUGGAGAAGCAACGCUUUGAGUUUGACGGUACCACCAGAGGAAGCACCGGCUAACUCCGUGCCAGCAGCCGCGGUAAUACGGAGGGUGCGAGCGUUAUUCGGAAUUACUGGGCGUAAAGCGCGUGUAGGCGGGGAUGCAAGUCUGAUGUGAAAGCCCUGGGAUUAACCUGGGAAGUGCAUUGGAAACUGCAUUGCUUGAGUACUGGAGAGGAAGGGGGAAUUCCCGGUGUAGAGGUGAAAUUCGUAGAGAUCGGGAGGAAUACCAGUGGCGUAGGCGCCCUUCUGGACGGUAACUGACGCUGAGACGCGAAAGCGUGGGGAGCAAACAGGAUUAGAAACCCCAGUAGUCC